UCAAGCUCACUAACUGGGAAGCCACUCCUCUCCCCACAAGGAAGGAGUCUUGGUAGUUUAUUUUGUUGUUUUGUUUUUCUUUCUUUUGUAUUUGGACUAUUCUCAGGGUUGUAGUCCACAUAGUUUAGUUGCUCUGCUUUCAUGUUAACCCUCCUAUCCUUUCCGAUUCAACUAAAUGAAAUUCAAGUUUUCUAGUAAAUUUAUCUUUUCUUCC
rnacentral:lncRNA from 1 species